ACGGAAGGCAGCAGUGGGGGAUAUUGCACAAUGGGGGAAACCCUGAUGCAGCGACGCCGCGUGAGUGAAGAAGUAUUUCGGUAUGUAAAGCUCUAUCAGCAGGAAAGAAAAUGACGGUACCUGACUAAGAAGCCCCGGCUAACUACGUGCCAGCAGCCGCGGUAAUACGUAGGGGGCAAGCGUUAUCCGGAUUUACUGGGUGUAAAGGGAGCGUAGACGGCUUUGCAAGUCUGAAGUGAAAGCCCGGGGCUCAACCCCGGAACUGCUUUGGAAACUGUAGAGCUAGAGUGCAGGAGAGGUAAGUGGAAUUCCUAGUGUAGCGGUGAAAUGCGUAGAUAUUAGGAGGAACACCAGUGGCGAAGGCGGCUUACUGGACUGUAACUGACGUUGAGGCUCGAAGGCGUGGGGAGCAAACAGGAUUAGAUACCCUGGUA
rnacentral:rRNA from 1 species